AUAUACAGGGGGUACCGGUACAGAGUUAAUGUGGAGGCUAUAUACAGGGGGUACCGGUACAGAGUCAAUGUGGAGGCUAUAUACAGGGGGUACCGGUACAGAGUCAAUGUGGAGGCUAUGUACAGGGGGUACCGGUACAGAGUCAAUGUGGAGGCUAUAUACAGGGGGUACCGGUACAGAGUCAACGUGGAGGCUAUAUACAGGGGGUACCGGUACAGAGUCAAUGUGGAGGCUAUAUACAGGGGGUACCGGUACAGAGUCAAUGUGGAGGCUAUAUACAGGGGGUACCGGUACAGAGUCAACGUGGAGGCUAUAUACAGGGGGUACCGGUACAGAGUCAAUGUGGAGGCUAUAUACAGGGGGUACCGGUACAGAGUCAAUGUGGAGGCUAUAUACAGGGGGUACCGGUACAGAGUCAACGUGGAGGCUAUAUACAGGGGGUACCGGUACAGAGUCAAUGUGGAGGCUAUAUACAGGGGGUACCGGUACAGAGUCAAUGUGGAGGCUAUAUACAGGGGGUACCGGUACAGAGUUAAUGUGGAGGCUAUGUACAGGGGGUACCGGUACAGAGUCAAUGUGGAGGCUAUGUACAGGGGGUACCGGUACAGAGUCAAUGUGGAGGCUAUAUACAGGGGGUACCGGUACAGAGUCAAUGUGGAGGCUAUGUACAGGGGGUACCGGUACAGAGUCAAUGUGGAGGCUAUAUACAGGGGGUACCGGUACAGAGUCAAUG